GAGGAGAAGCCCUACGAAUUGAAUUUCGUGGGCGGUGAAGCCAAUUCACGACGCCAAUGGAUUCUGCCGCUCGUAGGAGUGGAGGCGGCCUCCGUUAAGGCCAUCACAGAGUUAUUAUGCGCCGGAACUUCGUUUAUGUCACUUUCAUUAUCGCCGGCGCUUUUGUUGGCGAGUGGUUUUUUAUAGGCUUGAGGCCUGAGUUCGACCUGAUGCAGACUGUUGAUUAUGUUGUUCCAAGCUCUGAGAAUACCACCAUGUUGGGGUAUGACAUUCUGACUUCGUAUGAUGUUGAAGAAACGGUAUGAGGAUAUUUCAGUGUUGAGGCAAAGAUGAUCCAAAGAAUGAUGUUCGUUUUAUGACGAAGAAUCGUGUGAGAUUCCACAUUGGUUGGAGAGGAGAAUGAAGCAUUCCUUAUAAGUGCGUGGAAAUCUCUCUAGUAGAUGC